rnacentral:snoRNA from 1 species
AUGGCAUGAUGAGGACAUUUUUUGAUGAGAUCCUUUAAUCGUUCCUAUGACUCAUGGAACUUCUCACCAUCUUGCUGCGAGAAGCUAGUGAGAGCUCGUCUUAUUU